rnacentral:lncRNA from 1 species
AUGUAUUUUUAAGUUACCAGCUUGAUUCCUAACAAAAAUGUAUUUAAAAACAGAUAAUAAUUGGUUACAUAAAAAUUUCUUCCAGGAUCCAGCAAUACUGAUGUGUUUCUUUUAAGAAGUAAUGAAAUCGAAGGAAAACGAGUGAUUUUCAGCCAUAUUGAGAAAAAAAUCCACGGUCACAAUGUAUUUAAUGUUGACAAUUAUAGGUUAAAGUACGGUCUCCAAGACCGAGCCUUGGUUAACCCCGAACAACAAUCUCAGCUUGUUUUUGCAUAAAAAAUGCUUCCAGGUUCAAGCAAUACUGAUGUUUCUUAAAGUAAGGAAAUCGAAAGAAAACGGGUCAUUUUUAGCCUUUUUACUGAGAGCAAGGAUUGAUAUAGUAAGACUAUACCAAUCCUUGCUGAGAGAAAAAAAAUCUUUUAGGGGCGACCCCAAACCCCCGCCUCCCCUGAAUUCGAACCCUAGUUACGGCCC